rnacentral:rRNA from 1 species
AGCAGUCGCCGCGGUAAUGCGUAGGGUGCGAGCGUUAAUCGGAAUUAUUGGGCGUAAAGCGUGCGCAGGCGGUUGUGUAAGACAGGUGUGAAAUCCCCGGGCUUAACCUGGGAACUGCGCUUGUGACUGCACAGCUAGAGUAUGGCAGAGGGGGGUGGAAUUCCACGUGUAGCAGUGAAAUGCGUAGAGAUGUGGAAGAACACCGAUGGCGAAGGCAGCCCCCUGGGCCAAUACUGACGCCCAUGCACGAAAGCGUGGGGAGCAAACAGGAUUAGAUACCCCCGUAGUCCCUGUCUCUUAUAC